GGUUGUUGGCCAAUUUGUUUGCAGAGGCAAGGCCAUCGUUUUAUUAUUUCUUACCUCGAGUGGGUCUGCCCUGAGAGUCGUGGGACUGGAUCUUGGCGGUCAGGCUGCUCCAGCUGCCCUUGUUUCCGACCCCUUCCAGGCCCCGCUGUCUAUCCCAUCGCGAUUCCUUAGGGCGCCUCUGUGCAGUCAUUGAGCCCUCAAGGACUCAGUGGGUUUCUUGUCGUCCACGCCCCAAACCAGCCCGCCCCUGUCUGCUGCAGUCUGGGGUUGGGUUGGUAAGAAUGGGGUCUAUGCCUUGGUGGGCUGAGUUUCCUGAACCCUAGGAAGGGGGCGGAGAGAAAAGAGGGGUCGUGUGUUGGGGUGGGGAGGAGGACGCCUUCUCGGGUUAGUUUCCUUAUUUAUAAGAAACUUCUCCGUAAGACAGGGCGGAUCUUUGCUCUGCCUCCCCUCCAGCUCGGUGGGGUGUGUGUGUGUGUUAAACCCUGGCAAAAGCAAACUUUUUAGGAUAUCAGGGUUUUUUUCUUUUUUUCUCCAAAGCUGAUUACGUUGAGUUGGUACGUGAGAGGGGAGCAGGAUUAUUGCAUUCAGAUCAAAUGCAGCUUCACAGUAAAAAUGAAACUUCCAGGCCAGACGCCUGGCAGAAUUCCUAGCUUGCAGUUUCAGUUCCAGCCUGCAGGGCAGAGUUGAGAUGGGGUGGGGCCCUAGCAAUACCUGAAAUACUGCUGAGCAGCACAGGGAAGUAUUGAUAGGAGGCCAGGAUGAGGAUGUGGGUUUGGAUUAGGAUGAGGCCAUAAAUAGCUUGAAUUAAGAAUAAGAGUGGAGCCCCCUCAAAAUGGUUCAUUUUAACACUAAGCGAGGUUGGUGUGAUAAAGUUUGAAGUCCUUGACAAAUUACAAAGCAAAAAAUUGUCACUUUAUCAGCUUUGAAUACUCACAGGAUAGUCACAGCCUGAAGCUAGUUUGGUGUCAUUUGUAUAUUAGGGUGAAAGUGUCCAGUCAGCUUUAAUAGUUGGAAGGAAAACUGGGCAAAGCUGUAUUAUGAAGGAAGGGUACUCCCAAGGAGGUCUGGAAGCAGCAGAGGCAAAAUGAAGUCUGAGGACCUGGAUUGGGAGUGAGGAGGGUAGGGCUGUGAAGGUUAAGGUAGAUUGUGAACGUGGCUGGUCCAAGGGAUUAGAAAAAGCACAUUUCGAGUGUGGCUGCGUAGGUCAUGGAGGUGUGCUGGAAGGGGCAUCUUUCUAUAUAUCUCACUUGGUCCUUUUUCUCUCCUACUUCCCCUGCUCUAUUACUGGACAUUAUGAAGUGAGCAACUUUGCUCUACAAUGCCUUUCUUCCAUGAUAUUUCUGCCUUGGGGCCAGCCAACCAUGGACUGAAUCCUCUUAAAACCUAAGCUAAAUUAGACCUCUCUUCCUUUAAAUUGUGGGUGUCGGGUAUGGUGUCUUAUGGGUUAUGUUUAGAUACCCCCCACACAAAGCCUCAUGCACUCUUAGGUGGGGCUUUUGGGAGAUAGUUGGAUCGUGUGGACGCCAUACUCAUGGAUGGAUUGGUCUACUGAUGAGUUUAUAGCUAAAUGUGUUGUUGGAGGUAGGGCCUGGACUGAAGAGGUGGGUCACUGAGGGUGUGGAAGGGUUAUAGCUCCUUCCAUAGUUCCUUCACUCAGCUUCCUGACUGCCAUGAGGUGAGGAGCUUUCCUCCCCCAGACCCUUCCACCAUGCCCUUUCCACUUGGAGCCAGUGACCAUGCAAGGACUAAGUUGUGAGCCAAAGUAAACUUCUCUUCCUUUGUGGGGAUUGGGUAUGGCUCCCAGCAAUGGGAAAACUGACUACUACAAGGAGAUGCGAAAGAAGAGAUGGAAGACCACAACAGCAAACUUACUCUUUCUUAGUUUUGCUGAAGACCUUUUCAGCGGUGGAUCCUGGCUCCCAAUCUCCUUGGUAUACUAAAUCCGGGCAGGAAACCCAGGAUAAUGAUGAGGUAAUGGACAUUCUGUUUUCUCCAUUCUGUAUUCAGGUAGUGAGCUUGUACCCCUGAAUUGAACAUCUCUCUCCGGGGGAAAAACUGUGAACCACAAACUCAGACUGUAGCUGCAGGGGGGAGCCAUUCGAGCCAUGCUGAAGGGGACAGGACGGUGCUAGGUGACUGAGGGCUAAUCCAGGCUCCGUUCUCUAUGGUGAGGGUUCUCACUGCUGGCUGCUUAUUCCUUUUCCUUUCUCUUUUAGACUUUCUGGAAAAUCUUUGGUGUUCAUAUAUCUUUAGCAUUUGCUCAUCUACAUUUUUCACAGAGAGCAGGCCCAGACUCUAAUCUUCUUUAGGUUUUAGCAUCUAACUAGAAUUUAAUAAUGUUGUCUUCUAUUUAUGGUAAGUGAUGCUUCCCUAGCUUAUGUGCCAAUAUAAACUAUUUUUUUGAAUUUUAAGUUAAAGUGAAUUUAUUUCCAGAAAAACAGUGUAAGUCGGGUGGUGUGUGAGAUGGCAUAAAAGCAUGAUAUAGGCAUAACUGAAUUUUGAGACACAAAGAAUUUGGUAUCUCUCAGGUCACUUCAGAAUCUACUAUCUGCCCCUUCUGUCUCAGCCCAGGGACCUGAGGUCUUGAGAAUGUAAGUUACUUGACCAGGGAGAUGCAUAUCUUUCAAUACCUUUCCUUCAGCUCCUCCCUGACCAGAAACACCAAAAACUGUAAGUCCUGGCCGGGGAUUUAGCUCAGUGGUUUUGCCACCUGCUGCGAAAGCACAAGGACCUGAGUUUGAUCCCCAGUACCAAAAAAAAAAAAAAGAAAAGAAAAGAAAAGAAACUGUGAGUCCCUGGAGAAGUAUUGGAAUUCAGUGGCCCACACAUCUGCACCCACCUUCCCUCCAAUGACCUGUGUUUACUCCUGUUUCUCUUCUACCAAUGCCCUGUGAAACAGCAGCUAUAAAUAGCUGAACAAACAGUCCAGACCUCACAGAACAAACACAAGCUGCUCAUUGUUGGAAAGGAACCACUGUAAAGUGUGCUAGUUCGGGUCUUCAGAGAAGCAGAUGCCAGGACAGGAUUCAAUGUGUGAGGGUUUUAUUAGGGCGAAAGCCUGUGGGAGAGGUGCUGGGGAGGGAGCCAGCUUAGCCGGGGAGAGGGUCAGACCAGCGUGCAAGUUGACCCAGGAGGGCAGGAGGGCAGAUCCCAGGCUGUUCUGCAACCCCUGGAAGAUCCAGUGAGGCCACUGGGCAGUGCUGGAGCCAGAGUCAGCUGUCAGGGGAGUCCCUGGGGUCUGCGUAGUCGUGGGGGAGUAGCUGUUGGUGGGCAUCCUGCGGCUGAGCAGACGCAGCAAGGCUGUCUCCAGUCCUGGGUUCCUUAUUCUUUUUCCACUUGGGGGUCUGUGGGGCCCAUUCUGGCAGCCACCACCACAGAAAGAUAUUGGGAAUCAAAGGCAGGUGAAUGUCCACCGUGUCUCAGAGUUGGGGUUACUAUGGUGGCAGACAGCUUUCAAAUUCACCUGAACCGCUAGCAUAUUCAGAGCUCCGGUUAGGCUCUUAAAGUAUAUUACCUCGUUUGUGUAUCAUCAGCUCUGUGAUGCAAGUUCUGUUUUUGUUCUUAUGUCACAAAUGAGGAAACUGAGGCUGAAAAGUCACUGCUCAAGUUCACUUCAGAAGAGGUCUCAGUGCCCUUGAACGUUUGUUUCCCUUUCCUGCAAUGGGAGUUGGGGUCUGUUAAUGAAGCCUCAAGCUUGACCGCCUCUCAGCUCACCCACUUACCCUACUCACUUUGUGCUUCUGUGCUGUUUGUUGACCUUGUGGCCUACAAACCUGCCGCUCUGAAGUCCAGGGAAAUGGGACAGGUCCGGAAUGGUCCCAAGACUGGUCACUGGUGCUCUGGGGGAGGGGGCGGUGGUAGAAAAGAUGAGCUGAGCUUUAUGCUUAGUAAGUGGAAGUGAGUACAUUUCACUCAGUAUAUUUCAUGCAUGGAUGUCGACCUAGCCUCUAUGGUUUUAAAUAUUUAGAUAGCUGACUGAGCCCCUGGAUUUGUUACACUAGUGAACGUCUGUAGUACCUGCAGACAGGAGGCUGACCGAAAUGCCAUCUUUGUAACUGGUGGUGACUGUGAUUGUUCACUUGUUCCUUGAGUGUAGUGGCUUGUCCUGAAGCAAGUGAAUGUUCCCGGCACUUCCACUUCCUGUCAUGUUUGAGUUGCUCACCAGUGCAGUAGUUUGGCAUGUUAGGGGCAGUCCUGCAGGAGUUCCUGAAGAGCUGGAAAGAUUUACAGCCCUCCGCCUCCCUGUGCCUCAGAUCACUGGCCGUCUGAUGUGUCUACUGUGGAAUAUUCGAUGCCAGAGAAUCAGGGCCUCAAUUUCAGAUUCUUCAAAUUAAGGGACCUCCCUAUAGGUAGUAGAAGAAGGAUCUGAAAGUAUUGGUCAACUUGGAACACCAACAAAGCUAUCAUUGAACAAGCACCCACUGUAUACAAAGUUCUGUGCUCCCUGCUAAUGGUGGAAAAGAUCACAGACCAUGGACUCAAGUUCAAGGUACCACAUUCACAUGCAAAUACAAGACAGACCAUCAGACUGUGCUUAAAAGAAUAUGCAAGUAGCUCAGAUACAAGUAAAUCUCAGGCCACAGGAAAGAGUAUGUUGUAUUUGUCUCAAAGCCAAGUGAUAAUGGUUGUUUCUCUUUCUUUCUGGAAGUUCUGUCUCUCCCAUCAGUUUUGAAUGAGAGUGUCUCAGACAUUGGACCACAUUAUGUUUCCAGCUUAAGAUGAAGCCCCGAACUUGCACCUCAUCCAGAUUCAUAAAAAGUCAUCUUUCACAUUUCUGAUGAAAAGAUUCAGCUACAGAAGCAGACUGAUACCAGCAGAGGGAGGACUUUGCCAUUUGAACACUCCAUCACCGCCCCGCGAAGGGCUCAGCAGGAUGUGACUGCAAUGCUAACCACAGCUUUGCUUCUCUUUCUUUCUUCCGGAUACUCAAGCACCGAAACACCUCAAAAAAAUGACCCAUAAUGUGAAGGAGAUAAAUAAAACUUGAUUAUUUUAUAUCACUGAAGCCAGAGCAUAAAGUAGAUGGCACUUUCUCCAUCUUAGAUAUAAAUAUAAUGAAAGCUAAAGAAAUAAUUAAUUUUGGUACAGAACAGCAGAGACAUUUUAAAAAUUUUAAAAAUCAUAUGAUUUCAACUUCCUUGGGCUAGAUUUAGGAAAUACUCAGAGCUCGAUAGACUAGUGGCUUGGAUCUUCCAGCCAAGCAUUCUCCGUACAGGCUUAGAGUUGCAGAGCAGGGCUUUAGCACAGGUGUUAAGUGUCUGGGAAGACCUGCUGACGGGUGAGAUAGGCUUGGUGAUGUCCUCAUGUGUGGGUGAGGAGGAGUCAUCGCUGAAAGAUGUCAGGCAUGCCUGGUGCUGGGGUGUAGAUACCUACGGGCACUUUAGCAAGCUGUGGGUGGCUGUGGACGGCUGAGAAGUUUCCUAGGUGAGAAUUCACACUGAGGACAGAAAGAGCCCGAUGAUUAACUUCCAGGAAAGGCCUUAGUCAUCAGAGGGAACUGGCAGUGUAGCAAUUCUUGGUUCUGUUCCUUGGUCCAGCUACAUCCAUGGGAAUUCUCAGGACAGUCUGGGGACACUGACGGAAUUAUCUCACUAAGCUUGGUACAGAAAUAUUCAGACUCCAGAAGUAGUGUUUUACCUUCCAACAGGAAUAGGCGCGUCAUUCUCCUUUAUCCUCUCCUGCACAGCAUAGAGGAUGGGCGUUGUCAGCAGAGUGAGGGUGCAUGGGGACACCUUCUGGAGACUCUCAGAAAUGUAGGACACAGGAUGUCAUGCUAGGAGGUUUAGUAAGACAGCUGGGAGCAAGAACUGGUGCCAUUUGUGUUGGAGUUAAGGGAAUGUCCUCUGAUUCAGACCCAUGAAGACUGAAGAAAUGUACACAUUAUUUAUGCUUCAUUAUAUUCCAUGUCCCCAGAAUUAUCAUUUAUUAGAUGAACUUAAAUAAAUGAUGUCUCUCUUGAUGUAUAAA